CAACAGUUACUUUUGUUGAAGGCAACUCGGUGGACCACGGACAGGCCCUGAUGGUAGACUUCCUUUUCAUUUUAUACAGAGUCAGAUGUAAUGUUCUUUUCACACUGGCCAUCUGCUCUGUCUUAUAUGAAGAAGCAAAUUAAAAUUUAUAAUCUUCAGAGCACAGAAUUCUGAAAAUGUUAUUUUAAUGUCUGAAAACAAGAACAGAUCAGAUAAGAAAGGCAACAUGAGAAAACAGUUCAUGAAGAUCUUAGCCCCAGGAGCCAGGAGCACCUAAUGAAUAUAAAGAUUCUGAGUG